rnacentral:rRNA from 1 species
AAUCAACGCUGGCGGCGUGCCUCAGACAUGCAAGUCGAACGCGAAAGUUUCCUUCGGGAGACAAGUAGAGUGGCGCACGGGUGAGUAACACGUAGGUAAUCUACCUUUGGAUGGGGAAUAACAACCGGAAACGGUUGCUAAUACCGCAUAAUGCAGCGGCACCUAAAUGGUGACAGUUGUUAAAGCGGGGGAUCGAAAGACCUCGCGUCUGAAGAGGAGCCUGCGGCGGAUUAGCUAGUUGGUAAGGUAACGGCUUACCAAGGCUACGAUCCGUAACCGGCCUGAGAGGGCGGUCGGUCGCACUGACACUGACAUACGGGUCAGACUCCUACGGGAGGCAGCAGUCGGGAAUUUGGGCAAUGGGCGAAAGCCUGACCCAGCAACGCCGCGUGAAGGAUG